rnacentral:rRNA from 1 species
CAGUCGCCGCGGUAAAACGGAGGGUGCAAGCGUUAAUCGGAACUACUGGGCGUAAAGCGUGCGUAGGCGGUUCGUUAAGUCUGUUGUGAAAGCCCCGGGCUCAACCUGGGAAUGGCAAUGGAUACUGGCGAGCUAGAGUGUGUCAGAGGAUGGUGGAACUCCCGGUGUAGCGGUGAAAUGCGUAGAGAUCGGGAGGAACAUCAGUGGCGAAGGCGGCCAUCUGGGACAACACUGACGCUGAGGCACGAAAGCGUGGGGAGCAAACAGGAUUAGAUACCCGCGUAGUCCCUGUCUCUUAUAC